rfam:Triticum aestivum genome assembly, contig: Triticum_aestivum_CS42_TGACv1_scaffold_049491_1BS
AUUCUAAUCCCUCCGUUGCACAAUACAUGCCUUCUAUUUGUCAAAAUAUAUAUGUAUCUAGACAUGUUUUAGUAUAUAGGUACAUCCAUUUUUGGACAAAUGGAAGUCAAGUAUUUUGGAACUGAGGGAGUAUACA